rnacentral:lncRNA from 1 species
CAAAACAAUGGCAGGUGGUGUGGACACAGUGCUGAUGCUGCCAACAGCACCACCCUGCUUCUCAGAGGCGGAUCUAGGGGGCUUAGGGGGCUCAGCCCCCCUAAGUGCCAAGAACUCCAUUGGAACCAAAAGGAAGAAGGGGAGGAGAAGAGAGGAAAAAUAAGAAGAGAAAAGGAAGGAACUAUGGAGAUGGAGAAGGAAGAACCCAGCCCCCCAGAUUUUAAUCUUGG